rnacentral:lncRNA from 1 species
UAAUUUCUAGGAUAGUGUUGCCCUAUUUAUCUUUCACCUUAUGAUACUUUUUACCAAAAAGGAACUCCACUAAUCCUUCCCAUUAACCUUUUCCCGUUAUCGUGUGAGUUGUAUUUCCCCUUUAAUAUAAGACUUUAUUUCUCUCUAGUGUUGGGCUAGAUGAUUAUCGCAAGUUUCUUGCUAUUAGCACAAGUUUACUAGUACAUUUGUUCAGAAUGUAAUUCUUGAUGUUGAUUAUAAAUUUUUUGUACUUGUAAUGGUUCCCUGAAAAAUGGGUGUUUCAAAAAAAAUGUUAAAAGUUAAACAUUCACUAUAUCUACCUGAUGGUAACAGAA